rnacentral:rRNA from 1 species
UACGUAGGGUGCGAGCGUUGUCCGGAAUUAUUGGGCGUAAAGAGCUUGUAGGCGGUUUGUCGCGUCUGCUGUGAAAAUCCGGGGCUCAACCCCGGACUUGCAGUGGGUACGGCAGACUGGAGUGUGGUAGGGGAGACUGGAAUUCCUGGUGUAGCGGUGGAAUGCGCAGAUAUCAGGAGGAACACCGAUGGCGAAGGCAGGUCUCUGGGCCACUACUGACGCUGAGAAGCGAAGACAUGGGGAGCGAACAGG